GUAUGGGUAGCUCAGCUGGAUAGAGCACACGCCUCCUAAGCGUGGGGUCGGGGGUUCGAAUCCCCUCUCGUACA
rnacentral:tRNA from 1 species